rnacentral:lncRNA from 1 species
UCCCAAAGUGCUGGGAUUACAGGCGUGAGCCACCAUGCCCGGCCUGAACCUCUCUUCUUAUGGUGAUCACGAGAGCAGCAUUUCCAGUAAGAGAAGGGAAAGCUGUGUCUGAUCUUGGGAGGAAGUUGGGUAGGAUUUAGGGUGGGAGAAUGAAGAAGGAAGGGCAGAGACCAGACUAAAGGAUUGUGUAGAGUGGGACAGAGGUGAGGCAAGCGAAGGGAGUUAUGCACAAAACUUGCAGAGCCACUCCCUCUCAGGGCCAUGCCUGCACAGGGCUGGUGCCCAAGUGUGAAUUCUUCCCAAGUGUUUUGCCCUACUUACCUCACCUAUUCCUGGCUUUGGGGAUUGGCGUGAGGUAGCAUGGUCAGAGGAUAGCAAGGAGACCCUCUCUGCUAAGGAGAAAAGUAGGCCUGACAUCCAGGAGCUGGCCUGGUACUAUCAGUAGCCCUCAGUGUUGCCCUGAGCUGGCCUGGAACCAACAGCUAGACUUUGGUGUUCUCUGUGGAAGGGAAACAAUUCACAGAACAUCAAUAUCAGACAAGGCCACACCGUGACUACGAUGGAUCAAGAUAAAGGCAAGACCACUUGGCAUUCCUGCCUGAACCUGACAAAACAUGAGCCUUGUCCAAGCCACAAAAUACUAAACAUCCUCCCUCUCAGCUAAUAUGAAUGGUAGUUGCUUAUUUACUAAUUGCAGCUUUAGCUUCCCUCUAGUCUGCCCUCCCUAUAAAUAACAUACUGAUCAUAGAAUUACCCCAGCUUCCUAAUAGUAGUCAAUGCAGAGCAAAGCCUGGCUUCCUUGGACUCUCCCUCAAAUCCUUUUUAGACCCAAAAUAGUGGCCCAGCACUGUGGGAGGCCGAGGAGAGUGGAUCGCUUCAGCCCAGGAGUUUGAGACCAUCCUGGGCAACAUGGUGAAACCCCAUCUCUACAAAAAAUACAAAAAUUAGCUGGGUGUGGUGGUAUGUACCUUGUAAUCUCAGCUACUUGGGAGGCUGAGGUGGGAGGAUCACUUGAACCUGGGAGGGCAAGGCUGCAGUGAGCCACGAUUGUGCCACUGCACUCCACCCUGGGCAACAGAGCAAGACCCUGUCUCAAAAAAAAAUCUUUUUUUUUUUAACACCCUUUUGCUGAGACACCCCAGGGCUCCCCAUGGUGUGUGCUUGCCCUGGCUGUGAGUAGUAAACUCAACCUAUACAGUGUGUUCCUGGUGGCCUCCAGCUGGAGAGCAUUACCACAGCUGCCCACCGCAGGCACUGUUGAAACUCCAAGAUGUGCAGUGGAAGGACUGGCUAAGAAAACCCGACCCUGAUGGAAACGCCUUCCAAUGAGUAGAACUGAUUCACAUUGGAUCACUGGACUUUGGGUUGGGAUGUCCAAAAGAAGGACUGAUUUCAAAGUAAAAUAAAUGUUCCAAGACUAGGUCACAAAGAAAAGCUUCUCAGCCUUGAAGAAGACAAGGCAUAGGCCCGCGUCCCAGGCUCUGAGAGAGAAACGUCUCAUUUCCUUUGCUUGCAAGUCUGUGUGCCAUCUCUCAACUUCUGCCCUUGGGUUAUCUGUCUGUGUAUUUUCUUCACCCUUCUAGAUUGCCAGCUCCCUGAAUGGAGAUCACAUUGUUGCCUUUGCAUUCACCACAAUGUUAGUCCAGUGCCUGCCACUAACCAGGUCUUCCCUGCUUAUUAAUUGACCAACAGACUUUGUAUUGAAAACACACUGAAAAAGCAUUUCAAAAAUAGUUGACUUUCUCUGACGGGAGUUUUGCUAACUGGGAAGGUGAUGUAGGGUAACUUCUCAGCAGGGUGUAAAUUUUGAGUGCUAGGGAAAGAGCAGCAUGAUUGGAAGAGAGGCACAUUUCACUAGGAUACACUCUGUUAUCUUUGUUUUACAUUUAAAUGGGUCUACAUGAAAUUUGGAUGACACAUUAAGGGUAAUUUCCCCAGCGUGAUUUGGAUUGCUGAUUAGAGAAUCAAGGCCUCCUGGAGUAUUCUGUUUGUGUUACUGAUUGGUUAAGGGCUGUUUCCCAAGUGUGGGGUGAGUUCCGUUUUCCCCUGGAGAAUUAAAGAGCAGCACCCUUCAGGCACAGCCAAAGUGAACUCUCUUCAAAAAGUCUAAGCCUGGCCAGGCGUGGUGGCUCAUGCCUGUAAUCUCAGCAUGUUGGGAGUCCGAGGCAGGCAGACCACCUGAGGUUAGGAGUUCGAGACCAGCCUGGCUAACAUGGUGAAACCCCAUCUGUACUGAAAAUACAAAAAUUAGCCAGGUGUGGUGGCGGGUGCCUGUAAUCCCAGCUACUCGGGAGGUUGAGGCAGGAGAAUCACUUGAACCUGGGAAGCAGAGGUUGCAGUGAGCCAAGAUUGCACCACUGCACUCCAGCCCGGGCGACACAGUGAGACUCAGUCUCAAAAAACAACAAAAAAGCCUCUGAGCUGAAGCCCUUUUCUCUUUCUAAUUAUGCAGGAAGCAAAGAAAUGUUACUAUGUGGUGAAGAAUUAACCUUCUUCAAAAUAAGCCCGCCUUUUGUCCUUGGCUUCUGGAACGUAAUCUCUACUGUCUUUCUUAGCCCGAGGGAUGGGGGUCACAGUGGAUUGUCAGUGCAAUUUAAGGUGGGGACUGGCCACUCCCAUGUAGCCAUAGGGUUGGAGCUGAAAGACCAACAAUGUGACUUUGGGUGGAGGCUUUGGGUCACCCAGUAUCGGUGGCCUGGAGACUAAGAUCAACCAUGUGGCCAGUCAAUCAUUUAUGCCCACGAAAUGGAGCUCCAACAAAAACUGAACCCUGAGGCUUAGGUGAGCUCUCUUGGUUGGUGAUUCUCUCUUGGUUGCUGUAUUGUCACACAUGGAUGCCACCGUGUAUCCUUACUUUGUGGGGAAAAGACAACAGGAGCUCUGCAUUUGGAACCCUUCUGGACUCUGCCCUAUGUGUCUCUUUUUGGCUAAGCUUAACCUGUAACCUUUCCUUAUAAUAAACCAUAAAUGUGACUAUAACAGCUUUUGGUGAGUCCCAUGUUUCUAGGGAAUACCAAAUCAAAGAGUGAUUUUGGGAACCCUCUAAAAUUGCAGUUGUCCUGCAUUUAUGGACAGAACCAAUAUACAUCUUACUUGUAUUGAUUAAUGUCCUAUGUCUCCUUGAAAUGUAUAAAACCAAGCUAUAACCCAGCCACUUUGAGCACAUGUUCUCAGGAUCUCCUGAGGGCUGUGUCAUGGGCCAUUGGUCACUUAUAUGUGGCUCAGAAUAAAUCUCUUCAACUAUUUUAUGAAGUUUCACUCUUUUCAUCAAC